CAUAUUUUUUAAGGUUUGCAGUUUUGACUAAGAAUAUCAGCAUCUUUAUGGGUGAGUGAUUGCUCAUUGUUAUUUAUACCUCCAGGAAAAGUAUCUCAAUGGUGGUAAUGUAGAGAUACUUGGCUACUGAGUGACUGUUUCUUAAAAAUACCAAUGACUUUCAACACAGAUUUUUUUGAAUAUUUUCACAAGAGUAUCUAAAAAGUACAAAGUCUUCAAUGAAUUUUUUGAAUCUGCCAAUCAUUUCUAAAUCCAAUAUGUGUUAUUUUAAUAUGGAAUGUAAUUAUUUGAUCCAACAUUAUCUUUUUACUUUGAUCCUAUAGUCACUGUUAAGUUCCAUGCUGAAGGAUGAAUAUGGAAUCUAAAUAAAAUACAUCAUAUUAUAUCUUGGAUGGAAUAAUUAAAUUAACUAAGACCCACUGAUAGAUCAUUUUUCAUAAUGACAUGUUUGCUUGUAGGUUUAUGCUUAAAAUAAUACACUAAGUACUAGUACAGUCAUUUCAAUAUAAUUUGUAAGAGUAACACAUCUAUUACAACAUAUUUUUCCAUCAACAAAGACCAUUUUGACUAAAACGGAGGAUAGUUUUAAUCUUAGAACUGCACUUUUUAAAAACACAAUUAUUAUUUUUCUGGAGAGAUAAAAUGAGUCUGUUAACAGUGGAUAUCUUUGAAGAAGAAAUGUUGAAUUUAUAUACCAAUAUUGAUUCUUGAAACUUCUAUUUUAUACCUAUUUUUAACAUUAAUUUAUUAAUAUUAUUUUUACUCUUUAAAUUUUUAAGUAAAUGGGAACAAAAACAAACUAAGUUAGGUCAAAAAUAGCCAAAAACAUGUUUCUAGUGGUGAAAAAAUGUUAGAAAGUGUCAUAAGAUAUAUUAAGUUUGAAGGUUUCUUUUAUUUUUCUUUUUCACCCUUGCUCUAGUCUUUAGGAUUAUUUUAGCUGUCUGUAAUAGAAAGCACACAUUUUUAUGUGAUUCCAAGAUGAUUUUAUUUAAUGACACUACUAAGUCAUCAGGAUUUGAUUUCACAUUGUUUCUUAAAUUUUUAUGGUGUGGUGUCAGCAUCAGCCUACUUCUGAUUUCUCUUUUGCUGGAAAAAUAAAAUAGCUGCUUAAAUUCUCAGAUGUGUAUCUAACACUCAAUAAUACUAAAAGGAAGAGUCAAGGAUCUUGCUUCUGAUAGAUGUCUCAGAAGAGUGAAAGACUUACCUUCUGUGAAGUCCAUAGUCUUAGCCCUACUGGCAUUAAUUGGAUCAUGGAACAAAUUAUGUGGCUAUCAUCUUAAUCAAGGAAAUUCCAUGCCUUGUUUUUAAAUCAUAAGAAAACUGUAUUAAUUAUCCAGGUGUGGGAAACAGGAUAAUUCUGAAUGAAUGAGGUAAAUAUGAGAUUACCUGUUCCUAGGGCUGCAGAAAAUAAUGCCAUCCAUCUUCUCAUGACAUGACAAUGAGAAAAGAAAACAUUUUUGACUACAUUUACCCUGAUGCAAUUAUUUUGCUCAAACAUACUAUAAAAGUCUGUUGUGUGUAUAUAAAUUUAAACUCAAGUGUGCACCAUACACACACUACACAAAUUAAACAAAACUAUCUGAAAAUCACAAUCCUUACUUAAUCAUAGUUGCCCUGCUAGGAGGUUACUACUUCAAUGUACAUGUGUAUUCACAAUUUGGCUCCAAGCCAUUACCCUAGUUGCAUUCCCUAACUACUAAAUGUUCAGUGAUGUGAGAGAAUUCUCGCCAUUCCUCAAGAGUGCCAUGCCCUUGUCUUUCUUCUGUUUUCAAGUCUAUUCUAAAAUCAUUCUAUUUCUGGAAGACUUCCUUUCAUUAUUCAAAACUCAGCAUCUCUUCAAAGUUACUUGAUUCAUCCAGUUAAUGUAGUUACAUUUUCUACUGUGUCCUUAUAGACUUGUGUUUAUUAUUAUAGAUUAUUAUUGGAUAUAAUUUACACAUAGAGAGGUCAUCCUUAGGAUUGGAGCCUUGUUAACUGCCCUAUAUAUAUUCCCGGGGCUACCUGAAGGCCAGUAUUAUUCAGAUUUAAUAGAACUGAAUAAGAAAUGAACAUUUAUGAGAAGUGAAUUUGGGUAAGUAAGGAAGGGGUUGCAUCAGAACAAAGAUGAUAGGAUGAAGAUCUGGGUGUGAUGGAGUUAAGGUAACUUCUUGUAUUAGGAUAUACUGUCCAUGUUAGGGCUUGAAAAUUAUACCUCAGUCAUAGGGAAUUAGUGUGAAAUUAGUUUUUAAUAACCAUGAUCAGUUCACAUGACAAACAACAUUUCAUAGCUUUAACAAAUGAGUCUAUCUGAAAUAGUGGCUCAAAAAUUCUUAGCAUAUAUACAGAAUCCAAAGAGGGAAUAUUCUCAAUAGCUCAGUCAUACCACGUUGGUAUUCCAUGCCAAAAUCUAAUUAGAGAAAGAAAAGUUCAUGGGGUGAAAGACCUAGUCAAAACUACAGCGUAAAGUCCCUUAAUUGGCACAUUGGGGAAGACAGACAGGGUUUACAUUAAGGAACAGGGAAAUUGGCUGUUUGGAUAACUCAUAAUAAAUUUGGGGUAUUUAUUAUCUCCAUGUGCCUGAUUCUGAGCUGAAUAGCAGAAUCAGGAGCCAGGGUUAAAAGCAGCUUCAUUUUGCCACUGAAUAGAUGAGAAGAAAGGAUGAAAAUUGAUUUGGCAUUGAGAAUAAACUAACAGAUAUUUUAGCUAAAGCUAUCUAGAAGGUUGUGGGGCUGAUUUGCUGAUAUGCUUAGAGAUUAAUUAUGAAGAUCUACACCAUGAAUCAGAUGAGGAGUUUGAAAGUUUGGCAGGCUUUUCAAGUCUAGGAAGUGCUGUCUGAUAUGCAGAAUGCAUAAUGUAUUAGAGAGCUUCUUAGGGGUGAUCCAAGAGUAUAAAAUAUAUGUGCUCUGACAGUAACCCAGUGGAGCUAUUAAAGAUGUUGGGGGUGGAGGGGUAGACAUGAGGGUGGGGUAGACAGGAAAUAUUGGCAUUUUAUAAAAUUUUAAAAGUUAUAACUAUUUACAUUUACAAGAUAUAUCAUAUUUUGUUUGCUUUUGAAUUUUCCCUUUAUAAUCAUUUCUGAGAAUGCUAGUAUGUUAGACAAGAUAUCUUCACCAUAUGUUUGUGAUCAGCCUGAAUUAAAUGUACAAUAGGUGAAAGAUGAUAUUAACUCCAUCUGGUCCAUAAAACAAGCAUUCAAUGAAAAGAACACAUGACACAAAUAUUAAAUUUUGUGUCCAUUCUGUCUUUACAUUUCAUAUCAAAAUAUCUCAUAUCCUUUACCUACAAGGUAGAAACUGGUUAGAAAUGUUCCAACUGUUCUAGAGUAACGUGGAAUUUAUAUGCAAUAUUGUCUAAGAGUAUCAAGAUAAAAUUUGAUACUCAGAUCUGGCCUUAUAAUAUGUCUUAAUUGGCACUGAAGAAAUCCAGUCCAUCUUAAUUAGUAUAUUCAUCAGAUUGUAAAAAUGUAAGUCCUAAAGAGAGAAGAAAUGAGAACAAUAUAUUCCAUCAAAUCAUACAUAAAUUAUAAAUCUACAGAGAAAAUUACUGAUGAAUAUCCACGUUAACUACAUCAAAAGAAAAUGUUAUUUUACACGUGCCUUUUAUACUUUAGCAAUACUAAAAGCUAUUUUUUUAAUAUGUUGUGUCAAUUGAUUUCAGGUUUUUAUGAUGUGAUUAAAAUAUUUGUGUGUCUUUAAAGAAUUUGAUUCUGUCUAUAAAAUUGACAAGUUCUUCAAUGACUUUCUCCAUGUGAGUCAUUGUUGAAAGUUAAGACAACCAAGGACACUGUUUUUCAAAAAGUUUCAGUAGAGUACUUCCUCCAGGACACCCAGUUUAUCUUGGAAAUGAUGAAUGUCCCAAUCUUUUCUUAUAAAAACCAUAUCCUAUUCUUAUGUUUGAUUUCACAUUAUUUUCCAAAUCUUCAGAGGCAGAAUCCCUGAAAGAAGUUAAUAUUACCAAUACAGUGUUUUCAAAAAUUGUGACCUUAAAUACAAGCAACACAAAAUUAUAAGCUAAAUGUGAGAAGCACAUCUAAAUGGAAAAGGGUAUUUAUUAAUUAACUUAUUACUCCUUAAUUAUAGUCUUUUAUGGUAGUGGUGAAUUUCUGGACUUGUAUUUAUUUUUCCUUCUGUCUACUUUGCAUUUAAUUUGUUUUUCUUUUUCCAGCUUAUUCAUUUUUAAAAUAUUCAUAUAAGCUCCUUUACAUUUAAAAAAUUAAGUUACAUUUAUUUCUAACUGCUACACAAAUUUAUGGAGCAUUUGUUUUUCUUCUUUUGAGAAAUAUCUCUUUAGUUCUUUCACCCAUUUAUUGAGUGGGAUUAUUAGUUUUUUGGUGUUAAUUUUUUAAUUCUUUUUAUAUUCUGGUUAUUAAUAUCCAAUCAGAAGAGUGAGUGGCAAAGAUUUUCUCCCACUAUGUGGGCUUUCUCUUCAUGCUUUAGUUUCCUUUGCUGUGAAGAAACUGUUUUAAAGAAUCAUAAAAAAAGAAUUAACUUCUGUCAUUUGUGGCAACAUAAAUGGUUCUGGAUGUCAUUAUGUUAAGUAAAAUAGACCAGGCACAGAAAAAUAAAUGUUAUAGGAUCUCAUUCAAAUACUAGAAUCUAAAAAAGCUGGUCUUUUAGAAAUUGAUAGAAGCUGGUUACCAGGGACUGAGGAAAAUAGGGAAGAGAGAGAGAGAGAGAGAGAGAGAGAGAGAGAGAAGGGGGAGAAGUGGGUAUCAAGUGACAGAAACAAGAAGUUCUUGUGUGAUAUUGCACAGUAACAAGCUAUAGGUAACAAUAAUAUUUUUACAUUUCCAAAAGCUAAAAGGAUUUCAAAAAUUUACAGUGUAAAUUAGUAAUAAAUGUUUGAGGACAUAAAUGGGCUAAACCUGAUUUAAAUUUCACACAAUGUAUACAUGAACUGAAAAAUCACAUGGUACCCUAUUGAUAUGUACAGUUUUUACGACUUUUUGUUUCUCUAGCUCCUUAGGUUGGAAUGUUAGUUAUUGCUUUUGGGACUUUUCCCUUUUCUAAUGUAGUAACUUAAAGCUAUAGAUUUAGAUACUUUAGUUGAUUUAUAUUUAUAUUAGAUGAUUAUUUAUAGAUUUUACCUUUCAAACAGUUUAAUUUUUUGCUUUUUUAAUUAAAUACAUUGGUAAUUUAAAAAUAUUGUGUCUGUGUAAAAAGUUAGGAUUUUUCAGUGCAUUUAAUUUUUAGUAUAGUGAAAAUAACCCCUAGGGCUGGGGAUGCGGCUCAAGCGGUAGCAUGCUUGCCUGGCAUGCGAGGGGUGCUGGGUUCAAUCCUCACCACCACAUAAAAAAAUAAAAUAAAGAUGUUGUGUCCACGGAAAACUAAAAUAUAAAUAUUAAAAAAGUUCUCUCUCUCUCUCUCUCUCUCUCAAAAGAAAGAAAGAAAAUAACCCCUAAUAUUUCUAAUUUAUAAAUUAUCAUUACUUGUUUUACCUAGUGUAGAGCUUAUUUUGUAAAUCUACAUACAUAUUUAUGAAGAAUGCAUAUUGCCGCAGUCUGGCUGGGCACAAAAUAACCUAGCUGCCACAAAGGCUUGUAGGUUCAAACAGCAACUAUUUAUUUCGGAACUCUCACUGGCACUCUACACACUUCUCUGGAAUACACUCCCUCCACCUGGCUCCCCGCGCCAAUUCUCUCCAAACCCUGUGAGAACUCAACAGGAACUCCAAAGAAGCUAGCAGGCACCAGAGGCAGCAGGAUCUGCCCUAAUCCCAGCAGGAUCCACCCUAAUCCCAGAGCAGGGUCACCUUUCAACCAUUCCCUCUAGCAAAAUGCCAGGUGUCAUUCCGACUAAACUGUGGCUCUCAACAGCAUAUUUUCCAAGUGUUGGAUAUAUUCUUCUCAAAAUUAUUAAUCAUUUCAAGACAAGUGAUAUAAUUUUUCUGAACUUCUAUAUAUUCAAUAAUUUUUAGUCAUUAUUUUAAUUUCUGUUAUAAGGCUAUCAAAAGUUCCAUGCUAUGAACUGAAUAUGUCCCUUCAAAAUUCAUAUGUUGAAGCCCUACUUACCAAUCUGACCAAAUCUGGAGGUAGAGUCUUUAAGAGGUGAUUAAGGCUAAAUAAAGUCUUAACAGGCAUAGCCAAUUCUAAGAGGUGCUAAUAAGGAGAUGUAGGUAGAAAUUGCCAUCUGCCAAUCAGGAGGAGAGUCCUCACCAAAAAAUGCUGGCACCCUGAUAUCUGCCUUUUUUUAGUCUCCAGAAUUGUGAGAAAACAAAUUCUGUUGUCUAAGCCACCUUGUCUAUGGUGUUUUGUUUUGACAACCCAAACUGAGAGCAGACAUCCUAUAUAUUGUGAAAUUGUCUUUUGUGUGAAUAGAUGUGAUUAUUGUGUUUUUCUAAUGAAUCUCUAUUCUUAUGAAUCAUUGCUCUUUUUCUUUGGUAAUACUCCUGCCUUAACAUUUGUAAAAUGUAUUUAAUCUUGAUAUAACUGUUUAGUAUAAUGGAAUAUGAAAUGUAAUAUAUAGCUACUCAGCCCCUUUAUGCUGACUAUUUACACUCCACUUAGGUUCAAUCGGCUUCUAUAUUUAAGUGAGUCUUGCUUUUCCCCCGCCACCGACUUUUCUUGCAUAUUUAAUUUCAAUAUUUAGUUCAUUAUCACUCAGAGUAUUGAAUGAUAUGUUCAGAAUUAGGCCUACAUACAUUAACAGCUAUUUAUUUGCUCUUUUUUCCCAUUCUUUCUUUUCCUCAAAAUUUUAAAUAAUAUUUUUCUAAAAUUUCAGAAUUCCAUUUUAGUAAAUCUAUUGGCAUUUUAACUACAUCUUUCUGUGUUUUCUCUGGGGAUUAAAAUUCAUCUCUUUAAAUUUCACAGUAUUUUAGACUUAUUAUUCUACUGAUCUAUUUAAAAUUUAGAAGCCCUGCAGCUAUAUAGACCCUUUAACUCAAUUUAUGUUAGAAGUGCUAUGAAUAUUAAAUCUACUUGGAUUAGAAACUCAGAAGAUGGUUUUAUCACUUUUGUAUUAGACAGUUUUAUGUAUUUUAAAUAAAUUUUUAAAAAAUGUUCACUUGUAUUACCCUCAUAUGUAUCAUUUGUGAUGCUUUUUAUUGCUUCCUAAUAUAUUCUUUAACUUCAAUUUGAAGGACUUCCUUUAGCAUUUCUUUUUUCUUUUUUUUAAAUUUUAUUUUAUUUAAUUUAUUUUUUUUUAUUGUUGGUUGUUCAAAACAUUACAUAGGUCUUGAUAUAUCAUCUUUCACACUUUGCUUCAAGUGGGUUAUGCAUUUCUUGCAGAAAAAUACUCUUAGCUUUCAUUCAUCUUGAAAGGGCUUAAUCUUGUGAUUACUAUUCAGGGAUCUUUUUUCCUGAAUAUGAGAUUCACUGUUGACAUUUUAUGCUAUUCCUCACUCAUAUUUGAUAUUUCACAAACUAUUUGUGUUGUUUUGUUUGGUUUUUAUACCUGUUGACUAUGAUAUGCUUAUGGUCGAUUGUGUAGUUCCUCUUAUUUGCUGAGCUUCUUGAAUCUUUAUAUUUAUUACUUUGAGCAUUGGGAGUGCAUUUACAGCUAUUAUUUUUUCAAGUGUUUUGUUUUCUGCCCAUUCUCUCUUCCUAUUUUUUUUUUUGUUUCUAAAAAUAAGAUGUGAUAAGUUUUUUAUAUUUUUCUAUAUGUCCCUGAGAUUAUUAUUUUUUAAUUCUUAAAUCUUUGCUUUUCAUAUUGGAUACUCUUUGUUGCUUUAUCUUUAAGCAUAUUCUUUCUUUCCUAUGUCAUCUCCCACAAUUUCUCUGUUCCACCAAGUAGAUUUUAAAGGUUUUAAUUUUUAGCCUAGUGUUUCCUUAUUUUAAUUCAAAGUUUUCUAUUGUGAACUUAUUUUUUAUCAUUAUAAACCCAUUUUUCUCUUCAUCCUGAGUAUAGUCAUAAUAGCCAUUUUAAAUCUUUGUCUCCUGGUAUCUACAUCUAGGUCAUCUCCAAGCCAGACUGUAUAAUUGUCUUCAGGGUGGGUCACAUUUUUUUUUCUUUCUUUCUUUUCUUUUUUUUUUUUUUUUGUUGUUGGUAGUGGUGUUGUUGUUAUUGUUGCUUGUUUGUUUUUGUAGGAUGUAUGUUGGCUAAUAUUAUAAGCUUUGUAAAUUUUAUUUUGUUAAAACUCAGCAUCCUAUGUUCACCAGAAUUAUACUAAUUACUGUGUUGCAGCAUGCAAUGUACUUUGUUGUCAGAUUAAACAUUCUCUUUGUUGAGCAGAAUUUCAAUAAUAUCUUAAUAAUUAACAUUCACUAAUCUGUAUAUUUUCAUCUUGAAAUUUGAUUCACACUUUACUUUUUCCAAAAAUGUAUGUAAUAUAGUUGUAAAUUUGAUUUUUUUUAAACAAAUCAUCCUUUCUGAUUUUUUAACAGCUUAUGCAUGUGUGCAUGCAUAUGUGUGUUUAUACAGGAAUUUUAUGAAAAUAAAAUUAUAAUACUAUAUUUCUUGAUUUAUCAUGGUGCAUAUUAUUAUAAGAAAUUAAGUCAAUAGGAAUAUUUGAUAUUUUAUCAGUGAUAGUAACACUUAAAAUGUUAUUAGAAAUCUACUUUUUUAUUUAAAUGGCUAGAUUUUCAAAAAUUCCUUUAUUAAAUUUCAUUUUAUGAUAUAGGAUCAAUAUCCAUUAAAUUCAUCUUUUUAUUUUGACAGAGGUAAAUAUAAAGAAACAUUGUGUGUAAGUGCAUUCGAAUAAAGGGAAUUUUAAGCAAUGUCAUGAUUUUUCUAUUUCUACUUCAUCUAUCAAAGUCGCAUAGCAACUUGUUUCUAAAAUUAUUUUUAAAGAGAAGAAAUUCUUAAACUAUGUUGAAACAAGGGACUAUGCUCUAUCUCAGAUGGAUAACUUCAUUAUAUUCACUUUCUAGAAACAACAAUAGCAACAGUCUUAACUAACAUUUCAUAUAUGACAAUAUGAUGAUAGAUUGGCUGAAUGUUUAACUAAAGGUAACAUUUUUAAAAAAAUAUAUUUCUUUUAGUUGUCAAUAGAGCUUUAUUUUUAUUUAUUUAUAUGUGAUGCCAAGAAUUGAACCCAGUGCCUCCCACAUGCCAGGCCAGUGUAACUUUUAUAUCCUCAUACUUUAAAUAAAAAGUGGACAUUACUUUUUGCCAAUAUAAUAGUUUUACUUUAAAAAACUAUCAUGGAAAUUAGUCUUCUUGUAAUGUAAAUGGGAAAUUAUAUUCUUAAUAUUAAAGUGAGUAGAAAAAAGUAAAAUUACGGGGCUGGGAUGUGGCUCAAGCGGUAGCGCGCUCACCUGGCAUGCGUUCGGCCCGGGUUCGAUCCUCAGCACCACAUACAAACAAAGAUGUUGUGUCCGCCAAGUACUAAAAAAUAAAUAUUAAAAAAUUCUCUCUCUCUCUACCUCUAUCUCUCUCACUCUCUCUUUAAAAAAAAAAGUAAAAUUACUUUGUUUUAAAAAAAAGGCUUUUGAAAUAAUUUUAAUAAAAUAUUUGGAUAUAGGUUUUUCAGGAAAAUGUUGCACUAACUUCUGUGAUAGUAAUUUUUACAUUUUACACAAUAUAUGUGUUAAGCAAUAUUACUAAAAAAGCCAAUUCAAAAAAAAUCGACAACUAAAGUAAAUUUAAUAAAUAAUGCUUUUAAUAAUAUAUUACAUAUUUAUCUCUAAAUGUGUUUUAUUAUGCAGUUUGAAUAAUUUAAAAUUUGUUGUGACUAAUAGCAUAUAAAAAUAUAAAUGAGAGGAUUGAACUCUAUUGUUUGAAUGUAAUAAUAAGAAACCAGAAGUGUACUAUAAAAUAGAUAUGACCCCAUCAAUUUCUUUGUAAAUUAUGAUCAAUAUUUUCUAUGUUUAUGAGAGCAAGUAAUAAAAAUGCUAUUAAAUAUUUGGUGUAUGAGUUAUUGUAUAAUUUGUUUAUCUAUAAAUAAGCUAAGAACUAUUUAACAUUUAGUAGAAAAUUAGAUUAGGACUUAGCUUCAAAUAGAUAUGUUUAUAAUGUAACUAUCUGAAUACUAUUGAAUAUCCUUUGCAUUAAUGGGAAAUUUGAAUAUGAGAGAAUUACGUGAAUUUUGUUUAUGAAAUUUAUCUGCAGUAUCUGAAAAAAUCAUGUAGUAGUCUCAGAAUAUAUUUGUUACCCAUUUCCCAAGGACCAGAUCACUUCAUUCUUACAAUUAUGCUAUAUCAUAUUAUAUUCAUUGUCAGUAAUUUUCAAAUCUUAAUUCUUUCUUGCUAAUGGUAGGCCCUAUUAUGAAGAGUUGAAAACAAUUCUUAAUUUUGAAUAAAUGGGGAAAAAGCUGAUUAUUAAAAAUGCAGUGUUGCUUAUUUCUUUCAUGGAACUCUCCUCUAGUAGUGCUACAUUCUUGGUAAAGUGUGAAACCAUUAACAAAAAUUUUCUUUAUUCUGAGUACUAAAACAAAUUCAGUUUUAUGAUCCUUCACUAAAUCAUUCUCAGCCAACAUACUUUCUUAUUUCUGUGCUAAACAAUAUUGUAACCAGGCCAAAAAAAAAUUAUCUGUUUUUUUCAAAAUGUACUUAUUCCCAGAGCACAAAACUGUGAACCAACUAAAGUGACUUCCAUGAUCAUGAUUUAUAUUUUUUUCUUAAAUAUUGCUUGAAAACCCUCAUCUUGUUGUACUUGACUAUCCAAAGCUGUCAUUGCAUAAAUUCUGCUCAAUACCAAUCAGUUCUCCACCUAGAGAAAAAGUCUCAGUGUUACACAGCCCAGUCCCUAGACCUCUAUAAAAAUCCUCUAUUAAUUUUCUCUCUUUAACCCACUAUGUAUCACUCUAUAAAAGUAGUAUGUUCUCAUAUUGCUAUAUAUUUAAUGACCAGGUGUUGCUUGCUGAUAGGCUUUCUGGUUCACAUUUUUUAAGGAGUAGAUAGCUAUCUAUCUUGUCAAGUUUCCUCAGGAUCCUUUCCUUGUCAAUUCUGGAGACUCCAAGAUUGCAAACUGUGUUCCUUCAAGGCCCUUUGAACUCUGUAUUGGUGGAUCUCUCCUACCACAGGGCAGUAAGUUUACAUUGCAUCCAAGCUCUGACUACUUUGCAUUGAACUCAAAAUGUUACAUUCAUUUGGUUUCUGGAGAUAAGGAAUCUUUCCAUGUCUUUUGUUUGUUAUAUUAGAUUUAAGAACUCUGACACUCACUAGAAACUUGUCUGCUAUGAACAACAAUGCUGCCUAUCUUUGUGUAUGUCCUCCUCACUGUUUGUCACAAAUCCAAAAGAGGAAGUUCUUAGGGAAAAAGGUGGUAAUCAGUAUGAUAAAUCCAGCCUCAAGAUAGUCCUGAGGACCGAAGAGCAAUAAAAGUUUUCUCAGACUGAGAUGCUUAUAGAAUGCGCUUAUGAGAAUAAAAUAGUUUUACACAUAUUUUGCAUUAUCUGUGAGAAUAUAGUGCAGGUAUAAACAUUCUUUUCAAAACUUCUGGUUAAGUCAAUUUUUUGGGCUUUUAAUUGGAUAUGACAAGUAUUGGAUCACUGACUUGAUGCCUGAAACACUCUGGAUCACACCUGACUGAUCACUGUGUGCAGUUUGAGAAACUGACUAUAGAAAAGAUAAAUGGUCAUACCAUAUAUGAAAACAGAAUUCUGACCUAGUACUUCUGCAAUAAACAGUUCAUAAAGCCAAACUACAACUUCUACAGCUCUAGGAAAGGAAAGCCAGGACUGGCUUAAUGAAGUCCUUCUUCUUUAAUUUUUUAUUUCUGCUUUCAAAUGGAUCAGUCUCAUGUUUCUUAGUCACUUGCAAAUUUUCUUAGUCUAUAUCUAUGAUCUUUCAAGCCAGAUUAUUACUUCACGCCUGUAUUUACUCUAUAUUGUGAUUCCUGUGCUUAUUGUUUUCAUGGUAUAAUUUCAAAAUUCAGAAGGAAAAGAGGAACUAGAAAGAAUGUAAAAAUACUCUAUGUACCUUUAUAUUUCUCUUCCAAAAAUUGUGCUCAGAAAGUAGCAAGGAAAAUAAUAAAGAAUUGGCUCAUGUGAUUAUGUAGACUGAGAAGUCUAAAUUCCAGUUUUAGAGUCUGAGGCAGAAUCUCUACAUCUCAAAGAUCACCAGGCAGAAGGAAAAAAUUCUCACACUUCCUCUUAUCCUAUUUACUUUUUUAGUGAAUGGGGCACACCCACAUUAUGGAGGGCAAUUUAUCUUACUCAGUCUAGCAAUUCAAAUGUUCUUAUUAUUCAGAACAAUUCCCGCAGACACACCCAGAAAUGUUAAACAAAAGAACUGGGGACACUGUAGCCCAGUCAGGUUGGCAUAAAAAAUUAACACUCACAGGGAAUAUUUAUCAUUGGAAUUUUGGCAGUAUUCAUGUUUGGUGCCAAUUAAAUGUCAUUAAUGUUCCCUUCCUUGUCGCGACCCCUCGCCGGCAAGGGAAAACACGACACAGGAUUCUUCUUUCAGCAGUUUAUUCAGGCCUUGAUUCAUGUAUCAUCUUCUAGUGACCCCCCGCCGAGCGCCCAAGCACAGCCUAAUAAAGCCUCCCGCAUACCAAUCCCAAGCUGCCACGUGGACCUUUCUCAUAGGGUGGGAAGGGAUUGCAUGCCAACUCUCCAAAAAAGGAGUUGUUUAUCACAGGCCACAGUGGAAGCCAGCGCCAUCUUCUAAUGGCGGCCACGGUCUAUAAGAAUGGCUCACCACACUUCCUCACUUGUGCCAUAGACCUUGCUUGACAAUACUUUAGUGUGACUUGACUAAGCCAUGUAGGUUUAUGAAAUUCCCACACUGAAGCAAUCUGUUUUUCCAUCUCAGGUUAUCCACUUGGUUUCAUGUUGACUAACCAGUCAAGACUAACUUUGCUUUUCUUGAUUUCAUUUCUAUAAUAAUAUGAUACAUUUUGUAAGAUCAAUUUGGAUAAUGGAAUAUAGGUCCUGAAAAAUCCAUGUCUUCAUGGAUUAAUUAUUAAUUAAAGUAAUUUAAUUAAUAAUUAAAAUAAUUAGUUAUUAAUUAUUUUAUGUAACCACUAUUCUGAGGAGAAUCUUUUGGAUUUUGAACAACCAACCCCAGUGCCCAUAGUCUGAUGGUUCUUGUAAUAAUAGCACUGUCAUGCAACAGGCUGGAUGUCCAGAAAGCCACCAGCCCCUGCAUUUAACCAGGCUGAUUAGAAAUGCUUUUCAGACAACGUGCUUGCUAUCAAAAUUAUCAUGGAUGAAAACUAUCAUAACCUUGUUUCCUUCCCCCUAGGUCCUGGAGUCAAAUGCCAUCGUCAGGCUUUCCAGGUUUCCAAAUAACCAAAGAAGACUGUGAAUGGGGGUGCCAAGAAUCGGGGAAAUGAAUGAACUUUCUGAAGUGUGACUACCAUAUGAUCUAAUCCUAUUUGGUUGAAAACUAUUUCUAUAGGCCAACUACAGUAACUUACAUAAUAAAACUAACAGCUUUCUCAUCCAGGCUGCUUCAAGAACCAACCUUAUUAUGAAUGUCAUAUGCUCCACCAAAUCUCAAUUGGUUUCCUGUAUGUUUAUAUUUGUCUUAAGAUCACCUCAACUAGGCUGUACAAACUUAUACUCUCCUGGAACUUGUUCCUCCUUCUGUUAUAAAAUUACACAAAAACUAUAUUUUCUGGCACUUUGAGGAAGAACUUAGCCGAAACCUUCCAAUAAGCCUGAACCUUAAACUGUGUAUGAGUCAGGGUAAGAAUUCUAAUGGAGGCUUUUGAAUCCCUUGUCCCAGAAGUUAAAUGUCAUAAAUCAAGCCUAUCUAUUACCUACAUACAUUCUCAUAGAGAGUCCUUAAAAUUGUUCCCUCGGACUACUGUUCUAAUCCAGAGGCAUAAGCCUACCUGCUAUCUGCUGGAAUAUCCUUUGGCCCACCGUCUGAGUGUUGGCAGAUGUUGACUAUAGUAGGGCAGAACCUGGGCCUGCUCCCAGGAAUCCUGGGUAAGCACUGUAUCUUUCUGAAUGCAAGAUACAGUUGUUCCUGUCAAACUACCCACAGGGGCAGGGCUGUUUCUAAGUCUUUCUUUAAUAACUUUGCCUUUCUAUGCAAUUAUAAGUGUUUUCCAAAUUUAUUUACUCCAAAGAACAAAACUGUACAGUUAUUUGAGGAAGAUGGUCUGUGGAGACCUCCACUUUGGAAGGUUUGUAGGUGCAUGAUUGUUUUUUUUUUUUUUUUUUUUAAGCAACUUCUUGUCCGUUUCCCACAGGGGAAACAUGCCUUGUACUUCACCAGUUGUGAUAUGCAGGGCACUCUCAAUCCUUUCUGUUCAGUAUUUUCUACAGAGCAACCAAAUCAACUUUCCCUGGGAGACUGAUAGAAAUGUGCUGUUGCAGAUGGGCCCUAACAAGAUCCCCAGGUGAUUUGUAUUCACAUCCAAAUUUGGGAAACUGCUCUAAAGGCAGAGCACAACCUACAGAAGGGCUUCCACAGCUGGAGUCUAAAUGCAGUACCCACUUCCACUCCACUAUUCUCUCACAUACCACAUAUAAAUUAUUCACAAAUGGGAAAAAAUAUUCAUUUCGCUCCACUCACAGAACAUGUAUGUAUGAGGCAUGGAAACCCCAAGGCAUACUCCCUGCAUAUGGUUCACUUAUUAAACAUUAAAAGAACAUUGAAAGAA
rnacentral:lncRNA from 1 species